rnacentral:rRNA from 1 species
ACUCCUACGGGAGGCAGCAGUAGGAAAUAUUGGUCAAUGGGCGAAAGCCUGAACCAGCCAUGCCGCGUGUCAGAUGAAGGUCCUCUGGAUUGUAAAUGACUUUUCUACGGGAAGAAUGAGCCGUCUGCGGACGGAAGUUGACGGUACCGUAGGAAUAAGCACCGGCUAACUACGUGCCAGCAGCCGCGGUAAUACGUAGGGGUGCAAGCGUUGUCCGGAUUUACUGGGGUUUAAAGGGUACGUAGGCGGUUGUGCCAAGUCUGGGGUGAAAGUUUGCAGCUCAACUGUAAAAUUGCCUUGGAUACUGGUCGGCUAGAGUAGUGGAGCGGUGGCUGGAAUUUAUAGUGUAGCGGUGAAAUGCUUAGAUACUAUGAGGAACACCAAUUGCGAAGGCAGGUCACUGGUCACUAACUGACGCUGAGGUACGAAAGUGUGGGGAUCAAACAGGAUUAGAUA